UACGGAGGGUGCGAGCGUUGUCCGGAAUCACUGGGCGUAAAGGGCGCGUAGGCGGCCUGAUAAGUAGGGGGUGAAAUCCUGCGGCUUAACCGCAGGGCUGCCUUCUAAACUGUCAGGCUGGAGCACAGUAGAGGCAGGUGGAAUUCCCGGUGUAGCGGUGGAAUGCGUAGAGAUCGGGAAGAACAUCAGUGGCGAAGGCGGCCUGCUGGGCUGUUGCUGACGCUGAGGCGCGACAGCGUGGGGAGCAAAGAGG
rnacentral:rRNA from 1 species